GGGGCCGCGGCCAGGAGGCUCGACGCCAGGAUGCUUCCGCCUGGGGCUGGUCCCCGCGAGGCCUUUCGUGACUAAGGCCCGGUGGUGGGGCGAGGCCCACGAGCGCUUUCGCUGGCCCGGCUUCCAGGUCCGUAAAACGAGAGGUAGCGUGUGGCUCUUUGUGAGAGCCUCCAGAUGAAAACUCAGCUCAUCUGACCCCUUUAUUUCUGCCUUGUGAUUCACUGAGUAGAGGACCCAGUCACACCAUGCCGGACGUCAGAACUACAGAAUUAAAUCUUCUGACAUCUUCAACUGCUCUGUGAAAUCUACUAUAAUAUGCUGCAGUCCAGUACCUUUCUUCCAUUCCUUGAGAUUACUGUACUGCAGAUGCCAACUGGAACUAGAAACUAUGCUGGAUAUCUAAGAAUAAGAAUUCAAGAGUUAUUGAUGAAUCAGCAAAAGUUCAAACAGUGAGAAGGAAAUGCCAAUAGCAAUUCUAGAACUGGACAAUUGUAAAUGGCUGCCAAGGUAAGUAUUUGUCUCCCUCAUUAUGUUGCACAAAGUAAAACUUCCAACUUUUUUAACUGGG